AAAUCUGGGAAGACUUCCACAGAGGAGGUGGCAAGCCGGAACAAGGCACACAAAUGCCAGCUGAGUGGAAGGUCAACCAGUCCAACUUCUCAUGUUUCAGAAGAGGAAAGCAAGGUCUGGAGAGGGAACGUGGCUUGCCCAAGAUAUGUUUCAAACUUUGAUGAAAAGCAGGGAAGUUUGGGAAGAAAAUCCAAGACUUCUCUGGAGAGAGGUGCUGUGUUUUAUAGCAUCGGGCUGGACCCAGGAAGCUGGCUCCCAAAAACCUGGGCUUCCUUUGCAACCUCUACAUGAGGAAGAGGCACCAGUUAGUGUGACCCAUCCUGGCUGUGAACUCAUCGCCUAGGGACAGCGGGUCUUAGGAGGCCCCCAUAGCAAGACCCAGGGAGGAACUUUGCAAUUAUUUAGCAGCUCUUGGGAAGCACUUGCUAAAUCCAACCCCCUCACCCAUCCCAGUCGCUUGGUGGAGGAGACCCCUACAGAGUCCCGGCCAGAAGUCUCAGAUGGCUAUCCCAUGCAAGACAGUCUCUCGAGGGCUCCAUUGUUAUACUCAAGUUGGCAGGAAUAAGCUUCAGCCAGCUGGCCCGAGGAUCCAAGUGAUACCAGCUGGUCCCCAACCUACAGAGUGAUCAUGAGCAUGUCUGUGAACUGGUAUCUGACAGUUCGCUGUUCCCCAUCUCCAGUUCCUGGAAGGGAAGCUACAACCUAACGGUGCCAAGGAGGGGUGGCUUGAUGUGGAAGGCGGUUGUCCCUCACUGUCCCGAUUACCCACCGCGUGCCUCUGCCUCCCUUUCCCACACUCUGCUGCUUUGCUACCGUGGUGCCGGUGCUCAGUUUGUCAGGCCUCCCAGGCUCAGCAGGCAGGAUGCCGUAAUUCUCAAGAAUAAAGAAAACAUUUUAGAGUCUGACAA
ensembl:lncRNA novel transcript